rnacentral:rRNA from 1 species
AUAAGGUUAAGUUAAUAAGGGCGCACGGUGGAUGCCUUGGCACUAGAAGCCGAUGAAGGACGUGACUAACGACGAAAUGCUUUGGGGAGUUGUAAGUAAACAUUGAUCCAGAGAUGUCCGAAUGGGGGAACCCGGCAUGUAAUGCAUGUCACUCAUUACUGUUAAGGUAAUGUAGAGGAAGACGCAGUGAACUGAAACAUCUAAGUAGCUGCAGGAAGAGAAAGCAAACGCGAUUGCCUUAGUAGCGGCGAGCGAAAAGGUAAGAGGGCAAACCGAUGUGUUUACACAUCGGGGUUGUAGGACUGCGUUGUGGGACGACAAGAUUAUAGAAGAAUUACCUGGGAAGGUAAGCCAAAGAGAGUAACAGCCUCGUAUUCGAAAUAGUCUUUAACCCUAGCAGUAUCCUGAGUACGGCGAGACACGAGAAAUCUCGUCGGAAUCUGGGAGGACCAUCUCCUAACCCUAAAUACUCUCUAGUGACCGAUAGUGAACCAGUACCGUGAGGGAAAGGUGAAAAGCACCCCGGGAGGGGAGUGAAAUAGAACCUGAAACCGUGUGCCUACAACAAGUUCGAGCCCGUUAAUGGGUGAGAGCGUGCCUUUUGUAGAAUGAACCGGCGAGUUACGAUAUGAUGCGAGGUUAAGUUGAAGAGACGGAGCCGUAGGGAAACCGAGUCUUAAUAGGGCGACUUAGUAUCAUGUCGUAGACCCGAAACCAUGUGACCUACCCAUGAGCAGGGUGAAGGUGAGGUAAAACUCACUGGAGGCCCGAACCAGGGCACGUUGAAAAGUGCUUGGAUGACUUGUGGGUAGCGGAGAAAUUCCAAACGAACUUGGAGAUAGCUGGUUCUCUCCGAAAUAGCUUUAGGGCUAGCGUCGAUGUUAAGUCUCUUGGAGGUAGAGCACUGUUUGAUUGAGGGGUCCAUCCCGGAUUACCAAUAUCAGAUAAACUCCGAAUGCCAACGAGAUAUAAUCGGCAGUCAGACUGCGAGUGCUAAGAUCCGUAGUCGAAAGGGAAACAGCCCAGACCACCAGCUAAGGUCCCAAAAUAUAUGUUAAGUGGAAAAGGAUGUGGGGUUGCACAGACAACUAGGAUGUUAGCUUAGAAGCAGCUAUUCAUUCAAAGAGUGCGUAAUAGCUCACUAGUCGAGUGACCCUGCGCCGAAAAUGUACCGGGGCUAAAACAUAUUACCGAAGCUGUGGAUACCUUUUAGGUAUGGUAGGAGAGCGUUCUAUGUGUGAUGAAGGUGUACCGUGAGGAGCGCUGGAACGCAUAGAAGUGAGAAUGCCGGUAUGAGUAGCGAAAGACAGGUGAGAAUCCUGUCCACCGUAUGACUAAGGUUUCCAGGGGAAGGCUCGUCCUCCCUGGGUUAGUCGGGACCUAAGGAGAGACCGAAAGGUGUAUCCGAUGGACAACAGGUUGAUAUUCCUGUACUAGAGUAUAUAGUGAUGGAGGGACGCAGUAGGCUAACUAAAGCGUGCGAUUGGAAGUGCACGUCUAAGCAGUGAGGUGUGAUAUGAGUCAAAUGCUUAUAUCUAUAACAUUGAGCUGUGAUGGGGAGCGAAGUUAAGUAGCGAAGUUAGUGAUGUCACACUGCCAAGAAAAGCUUCUAGCGUUAAUUAUACUCUACCCGUACCGCAAACCGACACAGGUAGUCGAGGCGAGUAGCCUCAGGUGAGCGAGAGAACUCUCGUUAAGGAACUCGGCAAAAUGGCCCCGUAACUUCGGGAGAAGGGGCGCUGGCUUUAAGUCAGCCGCAGUGAAUAGGCCCAAGCAACUGUUUAUCAAAAACACAGCUCUCUGCUAAAUCGUAAGAUGAUGUAUAGGGGGUGACGCCUGCCCGGUGCUGGAAGGUUAAGAGGAGCGCUUAGCAUUAGCGAAGGUGUGAAUUGAAGCCCCAGUAAACGGCGGCCGUAACUAUAACGGUCCUAAGGUAGCGAAAUUCCUUGUCGGGUAAGUUCCGACCCGCACGAAAGGCGUAAUGAUUUGGGCA